rnacentral:rRNA from 1 species
CCUACGGGGGGCAGCAGUGGGGAAUAUUCCGCAAUGGGCGAAAGCCUGACGCAGCGACGCCGCGUGAGCGAUGAAGGUCUUCGGAUCGUAAACCUCUGUCAGCAGGGAAGAACGGUCACUGUGCUAAUCAGCAGUGAAUUGACGGUACCUGCAAAGGAAGCACCGGCUAACUCCGUGCCAGCAGCCGCGGUAAUACGGAGGGUGCGAGCGUUAAUCGGAAUUACUGGGCGUAAAGCGCUCGUAGGCGGUAUGUCAAGUCAAGGGUGAAAUCCCCGGGCUCAACGUGGGAACUGCCUUUGAAACUGGCAAACUGGAGUGUGUGAGAGGAUAGUGGAAUUCCAGGUGUAGGAGUGAAAUGCGUAGAUAUCUGGAGGAACAUCAGUGGCGAAGGCGACUAUCUGGCACAUAACUGACGCUGAGGAGCGAAAGCGUGGGUAGCAAACAGGAUUAGAUACCCUGGUAGUC